rnacentral:rRNA from 1 species
UACGGGGGGUGCAAGCGUUAAUCGGAUUUACUGGGCGUAAAGAGCACGUAGGCGGUUGAUUAAGUUGGAUGUGAAAGCCCAGGGCUUAACCUUGGAACUGCAUUCAAAACUGGUCAACUCGAGUAAGGGAGAGGAGAGUGGAAUUUCCAGUGUAGCGGUGAAAUGCAUAGAUAUUGGAAGGAACACCAGUGGCGAAGGCGACUCUCUGGCCUAUUACUGACGCUGAGGUGCGAAAGCGUGGGGAGCAAACAGG